rnacentral:lncRNA from 1 species
GCUGCUGCCCCAUUACAAUCCAAUCCCCACACCGGAUCUGCUCAAGUGGCGGUGGACCAGCAACGAAUCUUUUACCGUUAAAUCCAUAUAUAACUUCAUUACCGACGCAGGACAGAGAGACACGACGUAUGUACACUUAUGGGGUUUACGAACCCCGGUCAAAAUCAAAAUCUUCAUCUGGAUUCUGCUUCGCAAAAGACUGCUUACUGCUGACAGACUGCUC